UGGGUGCAAGUAUUUUUAAUGAGUCUAACGCAGAAUUUCACAUUGCAGUUUUGCAGUAUCUGGUUGUACUUGGAGUUAUUUUUACAUCUCCAAAUUGUAUAUAGCAUUUACCAUAGCAGGUCUAAACCAGUAACUGUCAUUUUGAUGCAAAUUAAGGCUAAUGUACUAAUAUUUUAGUACUAUAAUUAUAAUCUGCCUUAUUUUAUGCAGUACAAUGAAAACUGUUUAUACCACUUUGUUUCAUGCAGUACAUUUAAAACGCAGUUGUCAUCUUGUAGAAUUAUUUUAACAUAAACUCUGAAAAUAUACUGACCUGCUUUGUGAAUGAUCAGGCUAUUAAAAUAGACCCACAGAACUUCUUUCCAGGUGCACAAGGAAACCAAAAGAAUAUUUCUGCUUAAAACUAGGAACAGAAGCCUUAACUGAAAUUCACUGUUGUAGAUGGUAGUUCUCUGGGGCCUGAUUUAAUGUAUUUUUUAGUAUCCACAGCUUUGUGACAGCUCUUGAUGAGAGUAAAGUGAUGUAGUAGUCUCAUGUUGACACACAGAUUGUGCCGUUUUUAAACGUAAAGUCAACAAUAAACUUGAGCGACAGAAGGAGAAAUAAGAAAUUGGGCCUUGAGGUUGCCUCCGUUACAGGAAAAAAAUAAACCCGACAACUGCCUUGCACGGCAGUUGCUCAGAGUCUGUCCCCUGUUAAAGCUUCAAAGGCGUUUCGGCGGGAGCCGCCGCCUGAGGUAGCGCGCGGAGCCCAAUGGCGGCGGGGAGCAGCCGUGGGGAUCCCUUGGCCCUGGGGCUGCCGCCUUCCCCGGCAGAGGGUCGCUGGGAGGACCUUGAGCUGAGGGCGCAGAUCCAGUUUAAAAUUCUGAGAGGACACAGUGAUACUGUGAGCUCCUGCCAUUUUUGCUUUGAAGACACAAAAAUACUUUCAUGCUCUUAUGAUAGAACAGUGAAGCUCUGGGAUGUUGAGAAAGGUUUUCCUAUUCAAGUGUUUGAAGAAGAACACACUGCCCCAAUUUCUGAGUGCAACUUGACUCCUGAUGACAGAAGAAUGAUAACAUCAUCAUAUGAUAGCACGGUCAAGGCUUGGGAUAUGGAAACAGGAAAAAUAGUUGUAUGUAUCCUUUUGAAUGCAUCUUGCAGAAGGUACAACUGUAAAACUCAGAUUUAUUGCUUUGUUAUUGAUAAAUAAGAAAACACAACAUCCUUUGUUAGCACAAUACAAUAUAGUUAGGGUAGGUGGGCUUGAUUUUUAGUCCUAGUUUUGGUACUGAUAAUUGCUUGAUCUUGGGUUAGUCUCUUGAUGAACAUGUCUCAGUUAUUUCAGAUACAAAUGUGUAUGAUAAUAAUAACCUGCCUCAGAAGAUACAUUUAAGAUUGAUUAAAUUAACAUUUUAGGAUUUAAACAGGGUGGCCUUGUCUAAUUUUAAGUUUAUUGCCAAAGCAAAAAUAGAAAAAUUGGAUAUAAAGACAGCUAUCAGCUUUUACCAAAACAAAGUAAUAACAGAAGCAUUCUUUCUGAAUCUGCUUACCCAUUAUAGAAAGUCUGUUGUAAAACUUUCUCUAACCCUCAAGCUGUUUCUAAAAUCUUUUAUUUUCUCUUUAGUGGACAGUAGAACAUGAAGGCAUUGUAACUUCAUGUAACAUUUCUUGUGAUGGUAGAUAUGUGGUAUCUGGUUCAGACAAAGAAAAUACAGUAUAUGUUUUUGAUGCACGAAGUGCAACACUAGUAGCACAUAUCCAAGGUCAUCACAAAAGUACAAUCACAAGAUGUUGUUUUGACCCUGAUAACCAAAGAGUGACUUCAGUAUCAUAGGAUAAGACCAUAAAGCUAUGGGAUAUGAUAACACAAUCCACCUCAAUUACAAUUAAUGAGUAAGAAACUGUCCUGGUUUCAGCUGGGAUAGAGUUAAUUGUCUUCCUAGUAGCUGGUACAGUGCUGUGUUUUUGAGUUCGGUAUGAGAAGAAUGUUGAUAACACACUGAUGUUUUCAGUUGUUGCUAAGUAAUGUUUAGUCUAAAGUCAAGGAUUUUUCAGCUUCUGAUGCCCAGCCAACAAGAAGGCUAGAGGGGCACAAGAAUUUGGGAAGGGACACAGCCAGGACAGCUGACCCAAACUGGCCAAAGGGGUAUUCCAUACCAUGUGACGUCAUGCCCAGUAUGUAAACUG